UAAAAGAUUUCUAGGUAAAAAUUAUUUUUCCCUUAUCAACUGUAGGAGGUUUUUGAUAAGUUUUUAUUUGUUUUUGAAUAGCAGAGAGACGGAUCCAUCUUCUGGUUCACUGUCCAAAUGGCUGCAACAGCCAAGGCUGGGCCAAGCCAAAGCUGGGAAACUGGAGCUCAAUCUGGGUUUCCCAUGUCGGCAGCAGGGAUGUAACUACUUGAGCCAUUACCUACUGCCUCCAAGAGUGUGCAUCAGCAGGAAGCUGGAGUCAGGAGCAGACCCAGAAUGUGAACCCAGCUUCCCAGAGUUGGCUCUCAGAACUUGGAAGAUGAAACCCCUCCCAGGAUCAUGAGUGGAAUACCCUGUCCUCCCCUCUCUACCCACCUAAAUGCCCACAGCAUUGAGAAACUCAGAACAGAAAGUAUAAUAAUAGAUCCCUGCUAACGUUCCUGGGAAAGCUGUGGAAGAUGGCUCAAGUACUUGGGCUUCUGCCAACCAUCUGAGAGACCUGGAUGGAGCUCUGGGCACCUGGUUUCUACUUGGCCCAGCACUUGCCAUUGGAACCAUUUGAGCAGAAGACUUCAUCAGAAUUACUACAAUGAGGUUUUAUACAAGAUUUUCUUUAAGAAUUCCUUUGAAGCCCCAGCAUUUUCAUGAACAGGAAGAGGCUGCAGUCUUCAGCACUGAGUUAAAGAGCAGUGCCUUUACUUUCGGAUGGGUGCUACUUGCUGACUUUCUGCCUACGCAGAGGCUGGACCUCAAGCCAAGGUUACUUACUCCCUGUGCUGUGAGUCACCUUUCUCCUUGCCUCAAUUCUGGGACUGCAUAUGCAUGUCUGUGCCCAUGGAGUCCCAGUGUGGUGGGGUCAUGCAUCAGCUUGCUCAUGGGGCCCACCCUCCCCACGUUCUCCUCCUGCCCCUCUGUGGAGGGAGCCUAGCUCCCCUGUGAGUGUUGGCUCCAGCUCAGGUCCCUAAGGCAGCACCUAUGGCAGACUGCCCACAAACACUUCUGCCCCUGCCUUGUAUUAAACUCCAUACCGACUGUCAAUAGAGCUUAUUGUGGUUCCUAAAGGAAGAGGGCUUUCUGUUCAUGGCAGAGAAAGGAUUGAGGUGGAUUUGGAGAAAGAGCAGAACCCCCUCUCCAGACAUCGUGAUGGCAGCCACCUAUGAUGAGACAAACUCAAGGGUGUGACUGCUUGGGGUAAAAGGGAGGACCCCUGGAACCGAGUGGGUUGUCAGACUCCCUGUACCUCAAUCAUGGCACAGAGUUUGGCGCCCACACUUGGAGUCGCUGCCUGGAACACUGUGUAUCUCCGUGGUAACCAGGCUGCUGGAGGGUGCUUGACACUGCGUAGGAGCAGGGACUUCGCCUCACCUAGCAGAGGAUGUGUCUAAUGACAGCAGGCUCAAUAUUGACAACCUUGGUGGGGCAUGGGUGGAAGUCAGAAGAGAGAUGGUUUAACAAAAAACUGAGAUUUCUUGCACACUUGAAAUGUUACAGUAGGGUUCAUAUUCUCUGUGCAAAGUAUUUCACUGCAUGCCUUUUGUUAAUGCUUAUUCAUGUUAUUUACUUGAAAGGCACACACACAGAGAUAGAGAGAUAGAUAGGGAAAGGGAGAGUGGGGCGGGGGAGAGAGAGAGCGCGAGCUAUCUUCUAUCCUUCUAUCUGCUGGUUCAUUCCUUCAGAUUGCCACAACAGCUGGGAAUAGGUCAGGCCAAAGUCAAAAGCCAGGAACUCCAUCCAGGUCUUCCAGUUGGGUGAUAGGGACCCAGAUUAUUGAUCCAUCACCUGCUGCCUCCAUGAUGCAUAAUCAGGAAGCUGGAUUAGAAGCAGAGUGGAGCUGGGACUUGAUUCCAGGUACUCCAAUAUGAGACACAGGCAUUCCAAUGACUGCUUAACCUACUGUACCACAAUGCCCUUCCCUCACUGCAGGUCUUUAGUCAACUCUUCCUAGGGGCAAAGCAAGGAGGCAAAUGCCCAUGGUCACAGGGCAGCAUUGGCUAUGCUGAGACUGCCCCUCUUGAGAACACAGGGCUCAUUCCCUUCUGCUUUGUGUUCUGUGAGUUCAGACUGUGGUGUAGACAGACCGGGAAAUCCAGGGCUUAGUUUCACACUCAGCGCUGUCCUAUCCCAUCCUAUUUCUCACACCCUGGGGAAACAGGCAGGGAUUAAUCAAACUAAACACAAAAGGACUCAGUUUAACCAUUGGUAUGGAGAUCCCUAUGUCAUUUGAUGUCUGAUCUUUGAAGCUCCUGUUCACUAAUUCACAUGGGCUGAGAUCUGGAUACUUUUCUCAGCUUACUGUGGCCAUGAUUCUGGAGAUUGCUUUUGCUCCUCCUGGGUCAGCCUGUCCUGGAAGGGGCUUCCUGUGCCCCGUGUGGGCACAGCCGGGGGGGAGGAUCCCAGGGCUUGCAAACAUCUCUAGCAUGUGGCUUUUGCUAGCCAGGUCUCCUCCUGUCUUUUCCUCACCAACCUUCGGCAGACCUCUCUUCCAAAGACACUUCUGGCAAGGUUUGCUCUUAUUUUACACCUACAAUUUUGCUUCAUAAAAUCAGUGAUCUAACACUGUGGAUGCAAUGGAUGCAUUUUUAAGUGCAGUGUCUUUUAGGGAACUGGAAGGGAAGUGUCUGUAUUUCUACCUUGAGCCAACAGCCUGAAGUCAUUUUUGGAAUCUGAGUUUUAUUUCAGAUUUAGCAGAAUGUUCCCGAUGUUGAUUCUGUUUCUAUUAAAGUAAUUCAAGGAAAAUACAUCCUCCUCCAUUCCUGCCUCCCUCCAUCUCUGUUUUCCUCUCCCAGCUCCUUCCUUCCUUUAUCAAGAAGUCAACUUACACCUUCGUGUGCAUACAGUUUCUUGGGUAUUCAAAAAACAUAUUUCCAGACUCAGUUGUAGAAAUGUAAGUAGAAAAGCACUGACCGUGGGCUCCCCCUGCAAUGCAGGAGGCAUUCCCCACUGCCUUCGUUGGAACAGGGCAGCCCUGUCGGAAUCUCCUCCUCCCACUGGUGAUUUCCUCAGAGUUUGGCAGUAGUCUUGGCAAAAUAUAUGCUGGUGGGUUGGUCGAAAGAUUGUGUGGGUGACUUAAUGAACAAGACUGAAGACCUAAAGCAAUUGGGUGGGCAGAACCGAAGAAAUGCGUCCCACACUUGGAGAUCACAUCUCAGUGUUCUCCACACUGAAUUCAUUCAAGAAAGUUAAGAAUGACCACACGUUAUUGGUGUUAGAUUUCUUUUUCCAGACCAAACUCCAUACUUUCUACUUCUUACUAGAAUGAAGCAUUCAACGUGAACAAGCACAUUUUAAAAUGACUGUUUGGUUAUAUAAAUCUUGUGAUUAAAAGGCAGGCCACACAGGGAUUGUGGGGGCUGGAGAAGUGGGGCACAGUGCACCUUGUGGGGUGUCGACUCAGACUCAUGAUUGCUCUUGCGUUUACCAUCAUCCUCUUGCUCAUGCGUAUGCUCACACUCAUGCUCACACUCACAGUGAGGAUCGGGCUCGCGCUCCAGAUGCUUACAGUCACUCAUCCUCGUGCUUGCACUUACAUUCACACUCAGGGUCACACAGGCUCAGGCUCACUGUCUUAAGCUAACACACCCAGUCAUCUUGUGCUGACAUGUAUGCUCACCUCACACUUGUGUUCACACUCAUACUCAUCCUUGUCCUGACACGUAAGCUCACCUCACACGCGCUCA